AGAGUUUGAUCAUGGCCUUUAUGUCCGGGCUACACACGUGCUACAUGGACGGUACAAACCGCUGCUUACUCGCGAGAGGGAGCUAAUCGGAAAAAACCGUUCUCAGUUCGGAUUGCAGGCUGCUACCCGCCUGCAUGAAGCUGGGAUCGCUUGUAAUGGUAUAUCAGAACGAUACCGUGAAUACGUUCCCGGGCCUUGUACACAUUGCCCGUCACAUCACGAAAGUGGGUUGUACUUAAAGUCUGCGGCCUAACCCGAAAGGGGAGGAGCGCCAUCUGGUAUGACUCAUGAUUGGGGUGAAGUCACAACAAGGUAAAGGGCGAAUUCCUUUAACCCUGCGGGAGUAGUCCCUUUAAUGAGGGUUAAUUGGGAGCUUGCCGGACUCAUGGUCAUCGCGUGUUUCGUUAAAGUAUUUCGGUAUGUAAACUUCGUAAGAAUAGGAAGAAUCAAUGACGGUACUAUUUGUAAGCUCCGGCUAACUACGUGCCAGCAGCCGCGGUAAUACGUAGGGGGCAAGCGUUGUUCGGAUUUACUGGGCGUAAAGGGCGCGUAGGCGGCGUGACAAGUCACUUGUGAAAUCUCCGAGCUUAACUCGGAACGGUCAAGUGAUACUGUUGUGCUAGAGUGCAGAAAGGGCAACUGGAAUUCUUGGUGUAGCGGUGAAAUGCGUAGAUAUCAAGAGGAACACCAGAGGCGAAGGCGAGUUGCUAGGCUGACACUGACGCUGAGGCGCGAAAGCUAGGGGAGCGAACGGGAUUAGAUACCCCGGUAGUCCUAGCCCUAAACGAUGAAUACUUGGUGUCUGGGGUUUUUAUACCCUGGGUGCCGUCGCUAACGUUUUAAGUAUUCCGCCUGGGGAGUACGCUCGUAAGAGUGAAACUCAAAGGAAUUGACGGGGACCCGCACAAGCGGUGGAGCAUGUGGUUUAAUUCGACGCAACGCGAAGAACCUUACCUGGACUAGAAUGUGAGGGAAGGUUACUUAAUCGUAACCGUCCGGGCAGCCGGACCCAAAACAAGGUGCUGCAUGGCUGUCGUCAGCUCGUGUCGUGAGAUGUUGGGUUAAGUCCCGCAACGAGCGCAACCCCUUGUAAAACGACCCCCCGUGAAUUGUAAUACGACUCAUCAUAGGGCGAAUUGAAUUUAGCGGCCGCGAAUUCGCCCUUAGAGUUUCAUCAUGGCCUUUAUGUCCAGGGCUACACACGUGCUACAAUGGACGGUACAAACCGCUGCAAACUCGCGAGAGGGAGCUAAUCGGAAAAAACCGUUCUCAGUUCGGAUUGCAGUCUGCAACCCGCCUGCAUGAAGCUGGAAUCGCUAGUAAUGGUAUAUCAGCACGAUACCGUGAAUACGUUCCCGGGCCUUGUACACACCGCCCGUCACAUCACGAAAGUAGGUUGUACUAGAAGUCUGCGGCCUAACCCGAAAGGGGAGGAGCGGCCCACGGUAUGACUCAUGAUUGGGGUGAAGUCGUAACAAGGUA
rnacentral:rRNA from 1 species